rnacentral:misc_RNA from 1 species
AUCAUCUCUCCGCUAAGCAGUGCCUUGUGCUGCAUCGGCGAUCAAGUCCCUGGUUUUUGCUCCUUCACGCAGCCCGAAAAUUUGGGAAUACGAGAAGAAACGGAGCACCUUCCACGCGCGCUGUCUCACAAGUGCAUUCUCGGGCACUACGCACUCAGCGACGUGCAGCCAACAUUAGCCUCGAUGCUCUCCUUUGAGCACGCACGGGUUCCUGAUUGCUACAUCGCGUGUGAGCUUUCCUCGACCCCUCCUCCCCUCCCCCCGUAAGAGCGCAUUAUGGACAACGCCUUCUCAUGCUCGUCGCAGGAUCUGUGCGCACUGCAGGUGGAAGCGUGCAGACACUGCACAUCGCUCUUUCGCUCCCCAGGAGGUACUUGCAAGCGCGCCUGUAGCGACGUGCGCGCAGCCUCACUGCGGCAGAAAAGAACGCCCCGCAAAGCUGUUCAGACACUCACCUUCAAUGAAGCAGCGGUAUACCGGCGCAACAGCCGCGGCAUCACCAGUAGUGCCCCCGCGGCGGGAACUUCACUGAAGUCGCCCUGCGUCGCCCACGCGGCACACGGGUGCGGGGGUGGACUCUGCGCCACCUACCACAUAGGUCCGCACUGCUUCCCUACGCGCCGCUACCGGGCAGCUCUGUCGGGGCAGAGACACUGCACCAAGGUGCGUGGUGGCGGAUUCGUCUGUGGCAACAGAGAUUAUCGCAGCACGGAUGAGAGUGCGGGUGCGCCGACUAGCUCCGCACCAUUGACGCCGCCCGACAGCGACCUGUGGCUUCUAUGGUCCCUUGUGCCCUCCCAUCUGCUUGUUGAACUCAUACAGACUCCGCAAGAUGCGGAGGUGCUUCUCGCGAGGUUGAAGGAAGAGCAGUACCUACUUCAGAAUAGCGACACUGCCGAGGCCCCACGCUACUCAACGAGUGAGCAGCAAAGGCCCUGAGGCGUGUGUUCAUUGCACAGACAUUACGUGCCCACAUCUGUGUCUCUGUGCGCGCAUGUCUUUUCGCUUAUCCUUUGGCUUCAAUGUACUUCCACCGCAUCGCUUGCAGCGCGUGUCAUCCCUCUUUCCCUCUCUGCUGUGUAUCUCACGCGAACUCACAAGCAUAAUGCUCUGCGGCAGGUCUCGUUGCACAAAAGACGGCAACUUCCCCCACCCCUCCCCCUCUCUCUUGAGCUGUUGAGAGGAAGACGAGGGAGGCGUGUAGCGUGCUGCGAUGGCUUGUCUGUGCAGGCCAUGGAAGAGAAAGGUGAUAGAGCGAGCGAGGAGAGCAAGCCGGAGAGUCAUGCCGGCAGCAUGUAGCUGUUCGAGACAUGUCUUAUGCGUACGCAUCCCAUUCCUUCAUCUCUCUUUUCUCCCUUUCGCACGUCACUUCUUCCCCGCAGCAGCUGUGAGGGGCCCGAAAGCCGCACCUUUCCUUCCACCGCUGCCCCGUGAAAGAAGCCUACUCUCCCCGCGCUUGUUGCACCCCCACCCCAGGUAACACUGCUCCAUGCACGAGCUUGGCUUCUAUCAACUGUACCCACCCCUUCUCGAAUUCCCUUCGCUGUCCCCACCCCCUACCUCUCCGAAUCUCCCCCGGCGUCGUAAAG